rnacentral:rRNA from 1 species
CACCCAAUAACUAGCUUAAAUAAUUAAAACAAUAAAUGUUAUUAAUUAAACUUAAAAUUUCCAAAACUUUAAACUAAAACAUUUUUUUGCUCUUAGUAUGGGCGAC